rnacentral:rRNA from 1 species
AUUGAACGCUGGCGGCAGGCCUAACACAUGCAAGUCGAACGAGUGGCGGACGGGUGAGUAAUGUCUGGGAAACUGCCUUGUGGAGGGGGAUAACUACGGGAAACGGUAGCUAAUACCGCAUACCAUCAGAUGUGCCCAGAUGGGAUUAGCUUGGUGGUGGGGUAACGGCUCACCAAGCCGACGAUCCCUAGCUGGUCUGAGAGGAUGACCAGCCACACUGGAACUGAGACACGGCCCAGACUCCUACGGGAGGCAGCAGUGGGGAAUAUUGCGCAAUGGGCGCAAGCCUGAAGCAGCCAGGCCGCGUGUAUGAAGAAGGCCUUCGGGUUGUAAAGUACUUUCAGUGGGGAGGCGUUACCUACAGAAGAAGCACCGGCUAACUCCGUGCCAGCAGCCGCGGUAAUUC